rnacentral:rRNA from 1 species
AUUGAACGCUGGCGGCAGGCCUAACACAUGCGAGUCGAGCGGAUGAAGGGAGCUUGCUCCUGGAUUCAGCGGCGGACGGGUGAGUAAUGCCUAGGAAUCUGCCUGGUAGUGGGGGAUAACGUCCGGAAGCGGGCGCUAAUACCGCAUACGUCCUGAGGGAGAAAGUGGGGGAUCUUCGGACCUCACGUUAUCAGAUGAGCCUAGGUCGGAUUAGCUAGUUGGUGGGGUAAAGGCCUACCAAGGCGACGAUCAGUAACUGGUCUGAGAGGAUGAUCAGUCACACUGGAACUGAGACACGGUCCAGACUCCUACGGGAGGCAGCAGUGGGGAAUAUUGGACAAUGGGCGAAAGCCUGAUCCAGCCAUGCCGCGUGUGUGAAGAAGGUCUUCGGAUUGUAAAGCACUUUAAGUUGGGAGGAAGGGCAGUAAGUUAAUACCUUGCUGUUUUGACGUUACCAACAGAAUAAGCACCGGCUAACUUCGUG